GGGCGCGUAGCUCAGCGGGAGAGCACUCACUUCACACGGGAGGGGUCACAGGUUCAAUCCCUGUCGCGCCCACCA
rnacentral:tRNA from 1 species